rnacentral:tRNA from 1 species
GAACUGUUAGCUCAGUCGGUUCAGAGUACUGCCUUGACAUGGCAGGGGUCGCCGGUUCAAGUCCGGCACAGUUCA